GAAAUGCGAUAACUAGUGUGAAUUGCAGAAUUCCGUGAAUCAUCGAGUCUUUGAACGCACAUUGCGCCCCCUGGUAUUCCGGGGGGCAUGCCUGUCCGAGCGUCAUUGCUGCCCAUCAAGCACGGCUUGUGUGUUGGGUCGUCGUCCCCUCUCCGGGGGGGACGGGCCCCAAAGGCAGCGGCGGCACCAUGUCUGGUCCUCGAGCGUAUGGGGCUUUGUCACCCGCUCCCGUAGGUCCAGCUGGCAGCUAGCCUCGCAACCAAUCUUUUUAACCAGGUUGACCUCGGAUCAGGUAGGGAUACCCGCUGAACUUAAGC
rnacentral:misc_RNA from 1 species